rnacentral:misc_RNA from 1 species
UUCAAGUCAACCAUCAACUUGUGCCCAAAGGCACAGUAGUCUCACCGCGACUAGUUUCUUCAGCGGGUCUCCGAACCGCAGUAGUUUAAGAAGAUUGGAGACCAGUGAGAGAUUCUGGGAAAACCUCAAGCAUCUAAGAACUGGGUCAGUUGGAUACGACACUCAGUUGGAUUUCAUGGAUUUCGUCGCUUUGUUUCGGAGUUUUAGGUGAGUAGAUUUUAUUUCUUAAAUUCUGAAUAUUG